rnacentral:rRNA from 1 species
GAAAGCGUGGGGAGCAAACAGGAUUAGAUACCCUGGUAGUCCACGCCGUAAACGAUGAGUGCUAGGUGGUUGAGGCUUUGCGCCCUGUAUUGCUGAAGUUACGGCAUUAAUCGCUCCCCUGGGGGAUUACGGCCCCAAGGUAAAACUUAAAAGGAAUGGAGGGGGCCCCCCCCAAGCGGUGGACCAUGUGUUUAAAUUGGAAGCAAGGGGAAGACCUUUCCCACUUCUGACCAUCCUAGGAAAUCCCUGGAGAUGGGGGUUGUCUUUGGGGAGCAGACACCAGGUGGUGCAUGGUGGUGUUCAGUUCGUGUCGAAGAUGGGGGUUAAGUCCCGCACGAGCGCCAACCCCUGAUUUUAGCCCCAUGGUUAAGCCGGGCACUCUAAGGUGACUGCCGGUGACAAACCGGAGGAAGGUGGGGAUGACGUCAAAUCAUCAUGCCCC